CUGGAAGAAUGUGGUGCUUCCUGCCCUGCACCUCUGAUCUCUGCGGGGUUGACGGUCUUGUCCUCCGAGUCCCCUUAGACCCGGUGUCCUUAGACCCGGUGUUCUAUCUGCUGCCAGGGCACUUUGGACUCCUUAUGUCCCAGGACCAGCAGGAGCCGUUUGUGUCUGGAUUCCUUCGCUCAGCAGAACUCGUCUCGGGCUCAUCCACGUUGUAGCACGCGUCAGGACUUCGUCCUUUUUCACGUCUGAAUGAUACUCCGUUGCAUGGAUAGACACGUUUUCUUUAUCCAUUCAUCCACUGGGGACACGUGGAUUGCUUCCACCUUUUAGCUAUUGUGAAAACGCUGCUGUGGCCCCCCUUUCUCUCGAGUCCGAUGAAAUCAGCGUGAGUAGAGGCAGCGGAGAUGGCAGGCGUGACUACUGCACAGGCACUGAUCCUGGACGGGCUCCGGGCAGGGCUGGCAGGACCCUCAGCAUCCCCUGCAGUUUCCACAACCAGCGAGUGGAACCCACACCCCAGAUGCUGCUGGGCUUUACGGGGCCCCUGGUGCCAGGUCCCUGUGACUUCUGAAGGGCAGGGCUCCCUCCCGGUGGGUGCAGGUGACUUGGACAGGCACUGAACUUCUGGCCUCUCUGGGUGGGGAGGAUCUGGCUUCCCCUUCAGGUGACAGGUCCAGGCUGCCUAGCCUCUUGUUGGGCAUAUUUGGGGUCAGAGGACCUCUGUGGGGCUGUGGGCACAUGCGGGCUCCCAGGGUGGGUUAUGGGUGCUGUUAAAUUAAGUUUGGCCUGAAGCUGCCCCCAUAUGUAGUGAACUGCA
rnacentral:lncRNA from 10 species